CGACACCCAAAAACUCUUAUCAAGCUAUAUUUAUCAUUUUCAUGCGCCUUAAACUGGCCUAUUUCAAACUUUCCAUUUUAGACUUCCACUAAUUAAGCUUGUUUAGCAAGAGAUAUACACAGUAGGUCAUGUAUGGAUAAGGCUUGACAGACAAGUGAUAGCUGGAGCUAGAGUGUCUGAGUUAAACAGGUUGAAAGGAGCAGCCAUAAUUUUGGGUUUAAAGGUUUGUCAAAGCAUACCAUGUGGUCGAGAAAAUGCUGUACUCACUUAAACCUCAAGACCUGCAAAAGAUGUAUAGAAGCGCUAUUGGUGCGGCCCCCUCAUCAGAUGUCACGUCAGUCCUGAGCCUUCUGUUCCAGCUUGCUAUGUAAAUAAAUAAAACAUGCCAUUGCUCUGCUUGUCUUAAUCUUAGCCUACCCACGACUGCAACUGCCAAUCCAAGACGUCGUUGUUAAUGUCACAUUAGGUUGAGUUGAAGUUAGUGACUGACACAAGAGCUAUUUUAAAUAAAUUGAGUUGGAUCUAUUUAACAUAAGAAAAUAAA